rnacentral:rRNA from 1 species
UACGUAGGUGACCAGCGUUGUCCGGAUUUACUGGGCGUAGAGAGCGCGCAGGCGGUCGUUCAAGUCGAGUGUGAAAGCCCCCGGCUCAACUGGGGAGGGUCACUCGAUACUGAUCGACUGGAAGGCAGGAGAGGGAAGCGGAAUUCCCGGUGUAGUGGUGAAAUGCGUAGAUAUCGGGAGGAACACCAGUGGCGAAGGCGGCUUCCUGGCCUGUUCUUGACGCUGAGGCGCGAAAGCUAGGGGAGCAAACGGG